UACCCCUAUAAAAGGAAUCUACUACCGUACAGAGGGUUAAAUCCUACGUUCCAUAUAGCCCUGAUGUUUUACCACCAACCGUGUUUAGCCCCAUGUAAUUACCCACGCUGCCAUCGGUACCACACAUACACGUUCAAAUGUCGUAACACAACCAGCCACGCAAUCAGGCCACUGAUCCUCCCGACCUCUCGAAAAAAAACCUGCGCACAACUCCACGCCCGCACGACCUUUCGCUCGCUUCUCCUCCUCCUAACUGACGCCCGCGCCGAUCCUCUGCCGCCCACCGUGCCGGUCGCCGGUCCUCCUCUGCUGCCCCAAGAACGCCGCCGGCCGCCGGUCUGCCACCGCUGCCCCAAGAACGACGCUGCCUAGACCGCAUGGCCCUGGCCAUGGGGGAUGCCGCCGCCGCCUGGCCUCAUGGCUGCAGGUCCCAUGGUUGUUAGAUCUAGGCCACACAUGAGAGUCACCUUGGCAGACUGGCGACCGCGUGGUGCCGAGGCGGGAAGGAGGCAUAGGGCAGCACGUCACCGCAUCAUGGUGCACAAACGGCCUGCAAGGUGAGUGCCCAAGACAUACUAGCCAGUGCUGUCACCGGGGACAUGUACGCACGCGCAAACCACCGUUACCUCAGGUCCAUCCAUUCAUUGUGUGGUUUUGAGUAAGUAUGAAAUUCCGUCUCUUUCCAUAGAUACGAACACAUGCUUCGAUCUAUUUUCAGGAUAUUUUAUUCGGCGUUCGUGGUUAAUUCAAGGAGGACUCUGUUUAUCAGGUUAAUAUACAGAAACAUCAAAUGCAACAAAAUUUCUUCUCUAAUUCUGUAGGAUAUCAAGGCUUAAUAGAUCAUGUGUUGCUAUCGCAAAUUUUGAAACCAUCGUAUCUUUUUGGUCUAUCUACCAACGUCAUGGAACUGGCCCCAUAGAUGUAUACCUAUAUUGUUCAGAAAUUUGUCUCAGUACUGAGAUAGUAAGAUGUAAAUCUAGCUAACUUAUCUAUCUUCCAAGUGCCGUUGCACUGUUUAGUACUUUUGUUAACUUAACCUUUUUGGUUGCAAUGUGAUCUCUGUUAAUCACAUUAUGUACGCAUAAGAUUACUUCCGAUUUCGACCAAUCCUCUAAUGGCCACUGGUUAGUUCCAGUAUAUAUAAUGGCAAAUAUAGAAGUGUGCUUUACAAAACUUUGGCACCAUAUGAAUCAUGGUACAUGCACACAUGUUUGUCUUGGCAUCGCAGAGAUGGUGAAGCCCGGCAAAAUGGUUGUUCCUAGAUAUAUAGAAGUGUGCCUUACCAAACUUUAGGCACCAUAUGAAUCAUGGUACAUCCAAGUACAUGCUUGUCUUGGCAUUGCAGAGAUGGUGAAGCUCAACAAAAUGGUUGUUCCAAGAUGUCUCGAUGAUAGCUGCAAGAAAUUGGCAAGCAACUUUAUGAGUUCAAAAAUCCCUUGAGGAAACUUAAUUUAUUAAUUUCGAUUCAACAAAUAUGUGAUGAGUUGUUGCUUGAUAGUAGCUACAUGGCUAUCAAAUAAAAAAAGAAGCAUGUAUUUACAAGGCACAAUGUAAUACAAUUGGGCAUUUUGAAGUGGCUUCGAUCUCCGCAAGUGCAUGUUGAUUGUUGUGCUUGGGUAAAGCAUUCGCACUCCGCUUGUUACUAUUCUCCUGGAGGAUCCACAUCAACUGCAGUUCUUCCAUUGGGCAAACAACCUCAGGUAUGCAAAGACAGGUUUCUUCCGCUCGACUACAUCUCAUGUUGUAUAUUUCCUCAGUUCAUUUCCAGAUCCUAAUGAAUGGGAUGUAAAUAUGUUUAAAUUCAGAAAUAAUGUUCUGCCUACUGUUUGGGUUAGUAAAAAAUGUAACUAAUUUAGCGGAUGGUGUUAUUUGAUGCCAUAUUAUUGGAUUUUUCCUCUGGUGUUA